rnacentral:rRNA from 1 species
AUGGCCACGCGGCCACCCGUCUUCUCCACUCUCACAGCGUCCUUCUCCCCUUCCCCACCUCAUCUGCUACGCCGCCUCCAAACCCUAACCCGCGCGCUUGCGUCCUCCUCCCCGCAGCCCAUGGCGUCGUCUCCUCCCCUGAAGAAGGUGCUGGUGCCCAUCGCGAACGGGACGGAGCCGAUGGAGGCCGUAAUCACCAUCGACGUGCUGCGCCGCGCGGGGGCGGACGUCGCCGUCGCCUCCGUCGAGCCUGGGGCCGCGCAGGUCGCCGCAUCCUGGGGCGUCAAGCUUGCCGCCGACACGCUCCUCGCCGACCUAGCCGAAGCUGAUUUUGACCUUAUCUCGCUUCCUGGAGGGAUGCCUGGGGCUUCCACCUUUAGAGACUGCAAAAUUUUGGAGAAUAUAGUUAAAAAACAUGCAGAGAAGGGCAAGCUUUAUGCUGCAGUAUGUGCUGCACCAGCUGUGGCGCUGGGAGCUUGGGGUUUGCUCAAUGGAUUAAAGGCAACUUGUCAUCCUUCAGUCAUGGACAAACUUCCUUCAGAGGUGCAAGCCGUAGAAUCAAGGGUACAGAUUGAUGGGAAUUGUGUGACUAGCCGUGGACCAGGAACAACCAUGGAGUAUUCUGUUGUUUUGGUUGAACAACUGUAUGGCAAAGAAAAGGCCGAUGAAGUUGCUGGGCCAAUGGUUAUGCGUCCCCAGCAUGGCGCAGAGUUUUCAAUGAAGGAGCUGAAUUCGACUAGUUGGAAUGUUGGUGAAAAUCCUCAAAUUCUCGUACCAAUUGCUAAUGGCACGGAGGAGAUGGAGGCAGUUAUGAUCAUUGACAUUCUUCGGAGAGCGAAAGCAAAUGUUGUCGUUGCAUCCUUGGAAGGCACUUUGGAGAUUGUUGCAUCCAGGAAUGUGAAGAUGGUUGCUGAUGUGCUUUUGGAUGAUGCGCUUAAGCAGCAGUACGAUCUCAUUUUGUUACCUGGUGGUCUUGGUGGUGCCCAAGCAUAUGCCAAAUCAGAUAAACUGAUUGGAUUGAUCAAGAAGCAAGCCGAGGCAAGCAAACUGUAUGGAGCCAUAUGUGCCUCCCCAGCAAUUGCCCUUGAGCCACAUGGCCUGCUGAAGGGAAAGAAGGCUACAUCCUAUCCUGCUAUGUGGAGCAAACUCGCGGACCAAAGCGAAUGCGAGAACAGAGUCGUCGUGGAUGGCAACAUGAUCACUAGCCAAGGUCCGGGCACUUCCAUGGAAUUCUCGCUUGCCAUCGUGGAGAAGCUCUUUGGAAGGGAAAGGGCCUUCGAGCUGGCCAAAUCAAUGGUUUUCGUGUGA